GAUGAACGCUGACAGAAUGCUUAACACAUGCAAGUCUUUGGCGAAGCUGUGCUUGCACAGCCUAGCCAAGGCGGACGGGUGAGUAACGCGUAAGGAACUUGCCCUGCAGUCUGGGAUAACAGACGGAAACGACUGAUAAGACCUGGUAAAGUCAGGCGGACUCAUGUCCAGCCUGAUGAAAAGUGAUGCUGCAGGAGAGCCUUGCGUCCUAUUAGCUUGUUGGUGGGGUAACGGCCCACCAAGGCGAUGAUAGGUAGCCGGCCUGAGAGGGUGGACGGCCACAAGGGGACUGAGAUACGGCCCUUACUCCUACGGGAGGCAGCAGUGGGGAAUAUUGGACAAUGGGGGCAACCCUGAUCCAGCAAUUCUGUGUGCACGAUGAAGGUUUUCGGAUUGUAAAGUGCUUUCAGCAGGGAAGAAAAAAAUGACGGUACCUGCAGAAGAAGCGACGGCUAAAUACGUG
rnacentral:rRNA from 1 species